AUGGAGCACAACCAAAGGGUUAUAUUUUGGAACGUGCGGGGCCUCAACUGCCCUGCUAAACGUAGCGAUGUACGCUCCGUCAUCCGCUCGGCCAACCUGUGUAUCGUGUGUCUUCAGGAAAUAAAGAUCGCUGCCUUCUCGUCGUCCCUUGUCCGCGAAACAAUGGGCGCCCCGUUUGCCGACUACUUCUUCCUCCCGGCCACGGAUACACGCGGCGGCAUCCUCGUUGCAUGGCAGAGCGACAUCGUCUCCCUCUCUCAUCCUACCAUCGCCGACCACUUCAUCAACGCGCUGGUGACACCACGCGAUGGCAGCCCACAUUGGUGGGUGAUGAGGGUUUAUUGGCCCCAAUAG
rnacentral:rRNA from 1 species